rnacentral:pre_miRNA from 1 species
UUAAACAAGAUGGAGAAGCAGGGCACGUGCAAUACUAACUCUUAUUAACAUAGAGAAUAAUACAUUUUUUUGUGUUUCAUUUCACAAACCAAAAAAAUUAGAGAUUCAUAGUUAAGUGUAGUUAGUAUUUCAUGUGCCCUUCUUCCCCAUUUUGAUAGC